GCUUGAAAGGGUUUGUUUCCUGCCAAAACUAAUAAACAAAACGUUCAGAAAUGACAACUGUUUGUUGUAACAAAAUAUGUUCCCCGCUCUAUAUUUCUUUUGGCUUCCACUCAUAACUUCUGCACAUUUUUCCAUUUCCAACUAUUUGUGUGUUCAAGUAAUUCAGUUUCAGAGCCUUCGUCUUUCACAAAUGCAUAAAUUGUUGGGCACCCACUUGAGGACUUCGGUGGCCACGUUCUGUUCCUAUCUCAUUUAGUUUCCAGUUGUUUGGACUCAACACAUUUGUAACAAUAUUUGGGAACUAAUUUUAGACGCCGACUCGCUGCGAAUUGACAGUUGGAAAUAUUUUGGGACAGAUUUUUGACGUGCGCCCGUGAUUUGUCAUUGACAUCAUUAUACGGAUUCGGCGGAUCGGAUCGGUUCGGAUCGGAUCGGAUCUCCCCCAGGAAAGUGGCAGACAAACGGGCUGCAGCACUUCAGAGCGGUGCAGGGCACUUCAUUUGUGCGCCGCUUGGAAAAACAAAGCGGAAAAGCUGAAAGAGGGAGCUGUUCGGAUAAAUAAUUGCGUUUUUGACAUUCCCCUCCCCGUGCCCUACCCCACUUGCCACCGAAAUAUGGAAUAUUCGGCCUAAAAUUCAGAGGGGACGAGGGAACGAUCCCAUCGAGACUUAUCUUAAUUGCGCUCCAGACGCUGGCGCAUGAAGCAUCGCUUUGCCACGGCCACACUGUGUGAUCCAUGUUAAUGUCCCGGUCUGGUUCCCCAAAAAUAUUAGGCGACUAAUCCUUUGCCUCCAUUCAAUAGAUGCUUUUACGUGCCGGUUAAUGCGUUGGCGGGUUAAAUUCGAGCAUUCCAAAUUAGCCUUAUGAGGGGUUAUUAAUGCCGUAGGAUGAGGCGAAAUGACUAAUUAACUCGGAGACCGCGGAUUUAUUCUGGUGAAGAUAUUUCUUGGUUAUUUUUAGGCUCAAACUGAAUGCGUUACCCAUGACCCUGGGAUGAUUUCAUGGCAAUUUG